rnacentral:rRNA from 1 species
AUUGAACGCUAGCGGGAUGCUUUACACAUGCAAGUCGAGCGAGCGGCGGACGGGUGAGUAAUGUAUGGGGACUGCCCGAUUGAGGGGGAGAACUACUGGAAACGGUGGCUAAUACCGCAUACUCUCGGAUAACACAUAUGGGAGUAGCUAGUAGGUGCGGUAAUGGCGCACCUAGGCGACGAUCCCUCGCUGGUCUGAGAGGAUUAUCAGCCAAUCUGGAACGGGGACACGGCCCAGACGCCAACGGAGGCAGAAGUGGGGAAUAUUGCACAAGGGGGGCAAUCCUGAUGCAGCAAUGCCGCGUGUAGGAAGAAGGCCUCAGGUUUUAAAAGUCCUUUCAGUCGGGAGGCGUUACCGACAGAAGAAGCACCGGCUAACUCCGUGCCAGCCGCCGCGGUAAUUC